rnacentral:rRNA from 1 species
UUAACGUGCGGGCGUCCAGCGGAAACUGUCCGGCUUGGGACCGGAAGACCCGAGGGGUACGUCCAGGGUAGGAGUGAAAUCCUGUAAUCUUGGACGGGCCACCUGUGGCGAAAGCGCCUCGGGAAGACGGAUCCGACAGUGAGGAACGAAAGCCAGGGUCUCGAACCGGAUUAGAUACCCGGGUAGUCCUGGCUGUAAACGAUGUCCGCUAGGUGUGACGCAGGCUACGAGCUUGCGUUGUGCCGUAGGGAAGCCGUGAAGCGGACCGCCUGGGAAGUAC